AACCAUGUCGAUGGGCCGGUAAAAAUGAUUGGAUGGUAUUUUUUCAUUCCUGUCCGUUCCAUAAGUGACUAACAUUUUUUUUUAUUUUUGUGU